rnacentral:siRNA from 1 species
CCGGUGUCGGUGACCGAUCAU